CUUGAAGCUACUAGGCAGGCGGGGUUUUGUUUUGCUUUGUUGGUGAGCUUUGCUGUUCGAAGAUGAUUGGCUGACGACUGAUAUAAAAUGCAUCGGUUUUGUUUCCUCCACGGCAGUCGCCAAAAAGAGAAGAUAAAAAAGGAAAUGGUUUUCACAUCAUACACCAACCUAAUGUGGAUGUACAAAUAUAUUUACAUUUUUUAAUAUAAAAGAUUUAUUUAAUAAACAAUACAUGAUGCACAAUGCAGCACCGUCUAAUAAUAGUUCAGAUCCACUUUGGCUUAUGAAUGAGAUGAUAGAGGAAUAUUCUAAAAAAUUAGAAUCUACAAAUGGCCCAGUAGUUUAUAAAAAUGGAGAAAUUUUAGAUUAUAAUGCUGACAUGGAGCUGGUGAUUCCAAAGGAAACACCUUGCAAAAUAAUCAUUCAUACACAUGAUAAACAAUAUAUUCUUAAUGGACUCGGCUGUUAUUAUGGUUGUGGCCAUGUCUUGACUGCCUUGCAUGUAGUUAGAGAUACAGAUUUAGGGAUACUCAUUGCUUUUCCUACUAAAGACAUUAAACUGAUCUACAAGGCUGAGUUUACUAAAUGCUGUAACCGUGACAAAGCUCGAGAUCUGGCUUUUGUUAAAUUACUAGGCAAUACUAGUCCCCUUGGAGAUGGUUUACAAAACCAGAUCGCUGAAAUGGACAAAAAUGACAGUAUAUACUUUAAUACCCGAGAUCCUAAUAAUAAUUUUCAGAAGCAGGAGGGUAAAAUUCUUCACCAAUUUCCAAGCUCGUUUGAAAUGUCUGUAGCAGGUAAACCUGGAGACAGUGGCUCACCUGUUUUCAACGCUAAACAUGAACUGAUUGGCAUAUAUCAAGGUGUCAAAAAGAAAAACGGCGUCGCUUGUAAAACCUUUCUGUGCUUAACACCCUGGAGCCAAAAAAAUGAUCGCAGUCUUACAGAGAUACUCAGAGAUAAAUUCAAGUUGGUUCCAAGCUUUUUUGGGAACCUGCUGAGGAACUCCUGUAACAACUGACCUGUGAUUUCUCAAAUGUUUAAAAAAAGAAAUAAAACAUAGAAAUAAAACAUAAAAAGCAAUCGUUAAAAAUUUGCUCGUGCCUGACGGCAAAGAAAAUCUUUAUUUUUCUUCUUUUCUAUCAUGACAUUUGUCUUUCCCUUUCUAUGUUAGGAAGCCCAGCCUGAGCAUCUUUUGUGUGUGUGUGUGUGUGUGUGUGUGUAUGUGUGUGUGUUUCGUUUUUACUUGCUGUCAGACUAAAAAAGCAAAGUCUUUGAAAGCUCGCCUCCAAGCACAAUCCGAGUCCCCUGAGUUUCACCUGCUGACAGCAAACAUUUAUUACACUUGUGCCAACAACUGAGAGAUCAACUCACAUAGAAAAUGGAAAUGGAAACUCAGCCAAACCCCACACCUGGCGCAGAUCUGACCUGGUCCAGUCAUAACGACGCAAGAGCAGCUUUACAUUUACAUUUAUAUUCACAUAAUUUGACAGACGCCCUUCUCCAGAGCGACGUACGAAAGUGCUUAAGUCUCUAUCAUUAGAUACAUUAACUCUGGUUCACUAGGUUACAUACUGAAGAUACCAACAUCAGCAUCAAGAUCAGCAUCAGCCUCACUUACAUCUGCAGCAAACCAGCAGGGAAACCAAGCUGAAAAGAGCAGUAAACUGCCAAAAAGUAAACGCCAUCUAAAGCCUGCUGGCAUGAGUAGCUCUCUAAAAUCUUUAAAUAUUUGUGUCUGGUUUACACGUGGCUCGCACUGGCUCACAUGUUAUACGGAGAAAUCUCAGGCUUGGCUCACAAAUACAGAAAGGGACAGAACUCCUUGUUAGAAAAAAGGUCUUAUAUAAGUUUAAAAAAAAUUAAAUAAAUAAUAACUGCACAUGUUGCAUAAAUCCUCUUGCAGAAAAAAAUAAACAAGCUAAAAUAUUGUUACAAUAUAUAUUUUAAUAUUAUAUAUUUUUAUAAAAUAUAUAUAAAUGUAAAAUAUAUUCAUUAUUAUUAUUAUUAUUAUUAUUAUUAUUAUUAUUAUUAUUAAUACUCAUGGUAUCUUAAAUAUGUAACCUAGUAAAUGAGCAUUGAUGUAUCCAAAAAUAGAGAUUUAAGCACAUAUGUAUGUCGCUCUGGAUAAGGGCGUCUGCCAAAUGCUGUAAAUGUAAAUGUAGGUCAAGGUGUAUGAUCCUGUGGAAACCAUUUCCUAUUCCAAUUUACCUGACGGCUGCCCAGAGUGAGGUGCUCAAAUUUAAGUUUUUCAGAAAAAAAAGCCUCACCUUUAAUUUACUGGACAAAAGACACCUGGAUGCAGAAGAUUUCUCUCUACAGAAUGCUGCUGUAAUCGUCAUCAACGAAAUCAUCGCUUCAGCACAUUUAGUCCAUUACUUUUCUCCAUCUGUGGACUGUAAUUAUAUCUAAUUGCAUUAUUUGGUGUCACCCACAAGAGGAUGGGUUCCUUUUUGAGUCUGGUUCCUCUCAAGGUUUCUUCCUUAUGUCAUCUCAGGGAGUUUUUCCUUGCCACCGUCGCCAUAGGCUUGCUCACUAAGGACUUCAGUCUAUAUCCAGUAUUCUGUAACAAACAUUUAUUGAAAGGAAACGAAUUGUACAAAUAAAUUUGAUCUGAAUUGA